rnacentral:lncRNA from 1 species
UCAACACGUGUGCUUCUAGCCAUUUAGUUCAAAAAGUGGUAUCAACAUGUGUGCUUCUAGCCAUUUCAAUUUAAUUUAAAACACUUUUGACAAUGUACUUAUUUAUACAAACUUAAUUGUUCAAUAAUGUGUGUACGUGUCUUUUUUUUUUUUUAAAACACAGUAGUCUUUUAUCCUGGCACAUAUAUAUUGUAUUGAGUUAAUAUAUAAAAAUGACCCUAAACUUGAAAUCAUUUUAUAAUUUUGAUCUUAAACUUUCAUAGUGCACAAAUAUGACCUUUAACUAUUUCAAAACUAAACAAAUAUGACCUUCCGUCCUAUGUGGCAAAACGUGUGUGUUGCAUGCAAAAUGGCGCGCGUCGAGCUUAAAUUCUGAGCAUUUCAACGGUAAAAAAACUGGCUAAUUGACACUUGGAAGAUCGUUUCUCUCUUUUUUUUGUCUUUGAAGCUUCACUUUUCUUUUGUUGUCUUAUAUUUUCUCUAAAACCUCUCAAUUCAUCAUCAAUUUCACUAUCAUCUUCCUCAGGAAUGCAAUCAAAGGUCUUCUCUUCAAACUCAUUGAAGUCAUUAUUUUCUUCUUGAGGCACUUGUUCAGAACUAGCCACUUCAUUUGACACCUCAUUUAUAAGCUUUUUUAGAUGUGAAGCCCUAGAGCAAUCUCUCAAUUCUUUAUUAUUGACAAAACAUUGGGUACUAUCGAUACAUACUGACCCUUGCAAAAGCGACCUCCAUGAUGAAAAAGUGCAAUAAUAUGACCCAUAAUCUGUGAGAAAAAGUAAUAUCAGUUGAUGAAAACCCUAUUAAAAACUGAAAACGACUCUAAAUUGAAAACACUAACUCUAAAAAUCCUAUUAUGCAAAAACUCUAACUCUAAAAUUGAAAAAGGCACAAAACAUACCUUUCGAAAUUGAGGAUAAAUAACUGGAAACGCCUCAAAUUUAUGCAAAUUUGAUGGAAAAUUUCAACAUUUUUUGUCAAUUGAAUCAAAGAUUUGGGAAAUUUUCUUCGGACUUCAAAAGUGUUAAGACG